rnacentral:tRNA from 1 species
GUCCAGGGAUGGGAAUCGAACUCACAGUGUGUUCCGCUCACCGGGCAGAUGCCAUGUCCACUAGGCUACCCUGGA